rnacentral:rRNA from 1 species
CCUACGGGCGGCAGCAGUGGGGAAUAUUGCACAAUGGGCGCAAGCCUGAUGCAGCCAUGCCGCGUGUGUGAAGAAGGCCUUCGGGUUGUAAAGCACUUUCAGUGGGGAGGAAGGCGGUGAGGUUAAUAACCUCAUCGAUUGACGUUACCCGCAGAAGAAGCACCGGCUAACUCCGUGCCAGCAGCCGCGGUAAUACGGAGGGUGCAAGCGUUAAUCGGAAUUACUGGGCGUAAAGCGCACGCAGGCGGUCUGUCAAGUCGGAUGUGAAAUCCCCGGGCUCAACCUGGGAACUGCAUUCGAAACUGGCAGGCUAGAGUCUUGUAGAGGGGGGUAGAAUUCCAGGUGUAGCGGUGAAAUGCGUAGAGAUCUGGAGGAAUACCGGUGGCGAAGGCGGCCCCUGGACAAAGACUGACGCUCAGGUGCGAAAGCGUGGGGAGCAAACAGGAUUAGAUACCCGAGUAGUC